GACGAACGCUGGCGGCGUGCUUAACACAUGCAAGUCGAACGGAAAGGCCCUGCUUUUGUGGGGUGCUCGAGUGGCGAACGGGUGAGUAACACGUGAGUAACCUGCCCUUGACUUUGGGAUAACUUCAGGAAACUGGGGCUAAUACCGGAUAGGAGCUCCUGCUGCAUGGUGGGGGUUGGAAAGUUUCGGCGGUUGGGGAUGGACUCGCGGCUUAUCAGCUUGUUGGUGGGGUAGUGGCUUACCAAGGCUUUGACGGGUAGCCGGCCUGAGAGGGUGACCGGCCACAUUGGGACUGAGAGACGGCGCAGACUCCUACGGGAGGCAGCAGUGGGGAAUAUUGCACAAUGGGCGGAAGCCUGAUGCAGCAACGCCGCGUGCGGGAUGACGGCCUUCGGGUUGUAAACCGCUUUCGCCUGUGACGAAGCGGGAGUGACGGUAAUGGGUAAAGAAGCACCGGCUAACUACGUG
rnacentral:rRNA from 1 species